GUUCUAUAGAAUUAUAAUUUUAGAUUUGUCCUGCUCUAUGAUUUUUAAAUGGCUGCGGUAUUUUAACUGUACUAAGGUAGCAUAAUAAUUUGUCUUUUAAUUGAAGGCUAGAAUGAAUGGUUUGAUGAGAGACUGACUUUUUUUAAUUAAUAAUUUGAAUUUGAUUUUUAAAUCAAAAAGUUUAAAUUUUUAUAUAGGACGAGAAGACCCUAUAGAAUUUUAUUAAAUUUAUUUAAUUAUAAUUUUGUUUAUUUAUUUUUAAUUUUUUUAAAUUUAAUUUUGUUGGGGUGAUAUAAAAAUUAAUUUGACUUUUUAUUUAUUUUACAUAAAUUAAUGUUUUUUGAUCCUAAAUUUUAGAUUAUAAGAUUAAAUUACCUUAGGGAUAACAGCGUAA
rnacentral:rRNA from 1 species